UUUUUUUUUUUUUUUUUUUUUUUUUUUCUCCUU
rnacentral:ribozyme from 11 species